rnacentral:rRNA from 1 species
AGAGUUUGAUCCUGGCUCAGGACGAACGCUGGCGGCGCGCCUAACACAUGCAAGUCGAGCGAGAACCAGGGCUUGCCCUGGGGACAGCGGCGAACGGGUGCGUAACACGUGAGCAACCUGCCCCAAAGACCGGGACAACCCGAGGAAACUCGGACUAAUACCGGAUACCCUCACCGGGUCGCAUGGUCUGGUGAGGAAAUGGAUUCCGCUUUGGGAUGGGCUCGCGGUCUAUCAGCUUGUUGGUGGGGUAACGGCCUACCAAGGCAACGACGGAUAGCUGGUCUGAGAGGACGAUCAGCCACACUGGGACUGAGACACGGCCCAGACUCCUACGGGAGGCAGCAGUGGGGAAUCUUGCGCAAUGGGGGAAACCCUGACGCAGCGACGCCGCGUGCGGGAUGAAGGCCUUCGGGUUGUAAACCGCUUUCAGCAGGGACGAAAUUGACGGUACCUGCAGAAGAAGGCCCGGCCAACUACGUGCCAGCAGCCGCGGUAAUACGUAGGGGCCUAGCGUUGUCCGGAAUUAUUGGGCGUAAAGAGCUCGUAGGUGGUUCGGCAAGUCGGAUGUGAAAUCUCCACGCUUAACGUGGAGGGGCCAUUCGAAACUGCUGUGACUUGAGUCCGGUAGGGGAGUGUGGAAUUCCCGGUGUAGCGGUGAAAUGCGCAGAUAUCGGGAGGAACACCAGUAGCGAAGGCGGCACUCUGGGCCGGUACUGACACUGAGGAGCGAAAGCGCGGGGAGCGAACAGGAUUAGAUACCCUGGUAGUCCACGCCGUAAACGUUGGGCACUAGGUGUGGGACUCUAUCGACGGGUUCCGUGCCGUAGCUAACGCAUUAAGUGCCCCGCCUGGGGAGUACGGCCGCAAGGCUAAAACUCAAAGGAAUUGACGG